GACGAACGCUGGCGGCGUGCUUAACACAUGCAAGUCGAACGGUGAAAGCGGAGCUUGCUCCGCUGGAUCAGUGGCGAACGGGUGAGUAACACGUGGGCAACCUGCCCCUCACUCCGGGAUAACUCCGGGACACCGGGGCUAAUACCGGAUAUGACCUCCUUGGGCAUCCUUGGAGGUGGAAAGUUUUUCGGUGAGGGAUGGGCCCGCGGCCUAUCAGCUGGUUGGUGAGAUAGUGGCUCACCAAGGGGACGACGGGUAGCCGGCCUGAGAGGGCGACCGGCCACACUGGGACUGAGACACGGCCCAGACUCCUACGGGAGGCAGCAGUGGGGAAUAUUGCGCAAUGGGCGAAAGCCUGACGCAGCAACGCCGCGUGCGGGAUGACGGCCUUCGGGUUGUAAACCGCUUUCAGCAGGGAAGAAGCCGCAAGGUGACGGUACCUGCAGAAGAAGCACCGGCUAACUACGUGCCAGCAGCCGCCGUAA
rnacentral:rRNA from 1 species